CUACGGGAGGCACCAGUGGGGAAUAUUGCACAAUGGACGAAAGUCUGAUGCAGCAACGCCGCGUGGAGGAUGACACAUUUCGGUGCGUAAACUCCUUUUAUAUAGGAAGAUAAUGACGGUACUAUAUGAAUAAGCACCGGCUAACUCCGUGCCAGCAGCCGCGGUAAUACGGAGGGUGCAAGCGUUACUCGGAAUCACUGGGCGUAAAGAGCGUGUAGGCGGGUUAAUAAGUUGGAAGUGAAAUCCUAUGGCUCAACCAUAGAACUGCUUCCAAAACUGUUAACCUAGAAUAUGGGAGAGGUAGAUGGAAUUUCUGGUGUAGGGGUAAAAUCCGUAGAGAUCAGAAGGAAUACCGAUUGCGAAGGCGAUCUACUGGAACAUUAUUGACGCUGAGACGCGAAAGCGUGGGGAGCAAACAGGAUUAGAUACCCGGGUAGUC
rnacentral:rRNA from 1 species